GUUUCUCAUUGUUUCUCAUUUAUUGCGUCAGUGAUCUCAAGAAUAGUGGUUGGUUGUUUAACGUCGCGACGAAGGCUCAAGACCCACGCAGGCAAAAGCCCACGCAGGCAAAAAGCCAGCGCCCCGACCAGUGGAGUUCACAAGGUGGGUGAAUUUGACUGCCCGAUCAAACGCAUAACACGAAAGGUCGGGACGAGCCAAUGUAUUCAGUAAUGAUCCAACCGCAGGUUCACCUACGGUUA
rnacentral:misc_RNA from 1 species